rnacentral:rRNA from 1 species
GGUUAAGCGACUAAGCGUACACGGUGGAUGCCCUGGCAGUCAGAGGCGAUGAAGGGCGUGCUAAUCUGCGAUAAGCGCCGGUAAGGUGAUAUGAACCGUUAUAACCGGCGAUACCCGAAUGGGGAAACCCAGUGUGACUCGUCACACUAUCAUUAACUGAAUCCAUAGGUUAAUGAGGCGAACCGGGGGAACUGAAACAUCUAAGUACCCCGAGGAAAAGAAAUCAACCGAGAUUCCCCCAGUAGCGGCGAGCGAACGGGGAGGAGCCCAGAGCCUGAAUCAGCAUGUGUGUUAGUGGAAGCGUCUGGAAAGGCGCGCGAUACAGGGUGACAGCCCCGUACACAAAAGCGCAUGUGCUGUGAGCUCGAUGAGUAGGGCGGGACACGUGGUAUCCUGUCUGAAUAUGGGGGGACCAUCCUCCAAGGCUAAAUACUCCUGACUGACCGAUAGUGAACCAGUACCGUGAGGGAAAGGCGAAAAGAACCCCGGCGAGGGGAGUGAAAAAGAACCUGAAACCGUGUACGUACAAGCAGUGGGAGCACAGGUUUACCUGUGUGACUGCGUACCUUUUGUAUAAUGGGUCAGCGACUUAUAUUCUGUAGCAAGGUUAACCGUAUAGGGGAGCCGUAGGGAAACCGAGUCUUAACCGGGCGUUAAGUUGCAGGGUAUAGACCCGAAACCCGGUGAUCUAGCCAUGGGCAGGUUGAAGGUUGGGUAACACUAACUGGAGGACCGAACCGACUAAUGUUGAAAAAUUAGCGGAUGACCUGUGGCUGGGGGUGAAAGGCCAAUCAAACCGGGAGAUAGCUGGUUCUCCCCGAAAGCUAUUUAGGUAGCGCCUCGUGAAUUCAUCUCCGGGGGUAGAGCACUGUUUCGGCUAGGGGGCCAUCCCGGCUUACCAACCCGAUGCAAACUGCGAAUACCGGAGAAUGUUAUCACGGGAGACACACGGCGGGUGCUAACGUCCGUCGUGAAGAGGGAAACAACCCAGACCGCCAGCUAAGGUCCCAAAGUCAUGGUUAAGUGGGAAACGAUGUGGGAAGGCCCAGACAGCCAGGAUGUUGGCUUAGAAGCAGCCAUCAUUUAAAGAAAGCGUAAUAGCUCACUGGUCGAGUCGGCCUGCGCGGAAGAUGUAACGGGGCUAAACCAUGCACCGAAGCUGCGGCAGCGACGCUGAUGCGUUGUUGGGUAGGGGAGCGUUCUGUAAGCCUGCGAAGGUGGCCUGUGAGGGUUGCUGGAGGUAUCAGAAGUGCGAAUGCUGACAUAAGUAACGAUAAAGCGGGUGAAAAGCCCGCUCGCCGGAAGACCAAGGGUUCCUGUCCAACGUUAAUCGGGGCAGGGUGAGUCGACCCCUAAGGCGAGGCCGAAAGGCGUAGUCGAUGGGAAACGGGUUAAUAUUCCCGUACUUGGUGUUACUGCGAAGGGGGGACGGAGAAGGCUAUGUUGGCCGGGCGACGGUUGUCCCGGUUUAAGCGUGUAGGUGUGUGUUCCAGGUAAAUCCGGUUCACUUUAACACUGAGGCGUGACGACGAGGCACUACGGUGCUGAAGCAACAAAUGCCCUGCUUCCAGGAAAAGCCUCUAAGCAUCAGGUAACACGAAAUCGUACCCCAAACCGACACAGGUGGUCAGGUAGAGAAUACCAAGGCGCUUGAGAGAACUCGGGUGAAGGAACUAGGCAAAAUGGUGCCGUAACUUCGGGAGAAGGCACGCUGACACGUAGGUGAAGUGAUUUACUCA